CCUACGGGAGGCAGCAGUGGGGAAUAUUGCACAAUGGGGGAAACCCUGAUGCAGCAACGCCGCGUGAGUGAAGAAGUAUUUCGGUAUGUAAAGCUCUAUCAGCAGGGAAGAAAAUGACGGUACCUGAGUAAGAAGCCCCGGCUAACUACGUGCCAGCAGCCGCGGUAAUACGUAGGGGGCAAGCGUUAUCCGGAUUUACUGGGUGUAAAGGGAGCGUAGACGGCGAUACAAGUCUGAAGUGAAAGCCCGGGGCUCAACCCCGGGACUGCUUUGGAAACUGUGUUGCUGGAGUGCUGGAGAGGCAAGCGGAAUUCCUAGUGUAGCGGUGAAAUGCGUAGAUAUUAGGAAGAACACCAGUGGCGAAGGCGGCUUGCUGGACAGUAACUGACGUUGAGGCACGAAAGUGUGGGUAUCGAACAGGAUUAGAUACCCGGGUAGUC
rnacentral:rRNA from 1 species